rnacentral:lncRNA from 1 species
GCACCAUUAGCAAUGUAAAAGUUUACAUUAGGAAGCAGCAAUCCUAGUACCGGGAAGUCUUGGCUUGGCCUCAUCAUCCUGAAAAAUACAGAGUUACAGCAGAACAUCCAAUGAAGGUUUAUAUUGGCUCUGUUUGGUUAACCCCAAAAAGUAGCUUUUACCUUUUAGCUUAUAGCUUAUAAGCUCGUUUGACAAAAAAAGCUCUGUUUGGUAACACUUUUUCACCAUGAGCUUAUAGCUUAUUUCACGAGCUUAUAAGCUAUUUUUCAGAAGCUAUUCCAAGUAGCGUUUGAGCUUAUAGCUUAUAGCUUCUCACUUUUUCUUCCAAUUUUACCCUUAUUAUUUCAUUUAAAUUGUAUUUUUAUCCAUUAUAAUUUUUAUAAUAAGCUACGUAAUAAAGACUACUAUCCCUUUAUUUCAAUUUUUGUAAAUAUAUCAGCUGACCUUUUUUUUUUUUAGUGUUACUUUUUUUAUUUUUUUUGAGGUAAGUGUUAUUUUCUUUAUUCUCUGUUAUUAGUAUUACUCUAUUAGUGCUACCUUUUUUUUUGUUUUUGAGGUAAAUGUUAUUUUUUUUAUAAAGUGAAAACACUUAAAUGAUAAUAAAUAUAAGAUAAAAUUUUAGUGAAUAAAAUUUAAUUUAAUUUAUAAUACAUAGGAUAUAUUAAAUUAAUAAAUUUAAAGUAUUUUUUUUAAAGAAAAAUUAGUUUACAAAAUUACAAAUACUUAAAUUAAUGAUAUAAUUUUUAUUAUGAAUUAAGAAUACCCUUUAUGUCAUUUUAUAUUUAUCAGCUAGUUGAACCGCUGUUAGCUAUCAGCUAGCUUAUCUAAUUUUUAUUAUGAAUUAAGAAUACCCUUUAUGUCAUUUUAUAUUUAUCAGCUAGUUGAACCGCUGUUAGCUAUCAGCUAGCUUAUCAGCUAUAAGCUAUCAGCUAGCUUAUCAGCUAUCCGCUAUUUUUACCAAACAGAGCCAUUGUGUAGUUUCAUGAAUGACUUAUCACUCAGAAGUAUAAUAAACAGUAAUAUUCACUCUUAACCAUACCAGGAAUCAACCUUGCUACAAGUUCAGCAUAUAAUUUUUCAUAUAAUGAGUUGCAGGAUUGUCAUUACUAGAAUAUCUUCGUAUUAAACCUACCUGAUUACAACUACUGAAGUAUUGGCAAUAUUUAACUUGUUCUCGUUUUGUUCUUUGAAAGCACAAAUUGAAGCUUGAAAACUACAUCUAAAUUCUAAAACCCAUGUCUUAAUUAUAGCUGGCUGCUUAUAACUCCAUUCCGAAGAUUGCACUGCCCAGCAUAAAUUACCCGCAGUACAUAGGUUCAAUAUCUAAAUUGAAUCUAACUUCAACUUCUGAUUCCUUUUACAGUGUGAAAAUUUAAAUAAGUUGAGAGAAAAAUAAUGAGAGGAUGCACUGAAUCUGAGUAGUAUAUGCAAUAUAUCACUUUCUAGUAAUUACUCUUCUUGAUAUUACAUCCUAUUGAAAACAAAACUGGUUCAUUUAUUUAUUGACUCGAAAUGAAAUUCAUUAACCUAAUUAUCAAAUUAUGUUAGAGAUGUAAUCACAGGGUUACCACUAGGCCUUUGAGCUUUCCAUAUAACCAGACUCCAUUAAAGACACACUACACCCAAUACUUGAGAAACAAAAAACACUUAGGCCUACCUUUAUAGUUUUCCAUGUGGUAUCAAAUUCAAUGAUAUAUGUUUUACGUCAUCGUUACAACCAACAGUUAAACUUGUUAUUGAUGAUUAACCAAAAU